AGAACGAACGCUGGCGGCAUGCCUAAUACAUGCAAGUCGAACGAACUCUUCGGAGUUAGUGGCGCACGGGUGCGUAACGCGUGGGGAUCUGCCCUUGGGUUCGGAAUAACAGUUGGAAACGACUGCUAAUACCGGAUGAUGACGAAAGUCCAAAGAUUUAUCGCCCAGGGAUGAGCCCGCGUAGGAUUAGCUAGUUGGUGAGGUAAAGGCUCACCAAGGCGACGAUCCUUAGCUGGUCUGAGAGGAUGAUCAGCCACACUGGGACUGAGACACGGCCCAGACUCCUACGGGAGCAGCAGGUAGGGAAUAGUUGGACAA
rnacentral:rRNA from 1 species